CACGGAGGAUGCGAGCGUUAUCCGGAUUUAUUGGGUUUAAAGGGUGCGUAGGCGGACGCUUAAGUCAGCGGUAAAAUUGCGGGGCUCAACCUCGUCGAGCCGUUGAAACUGGGUGCCUUGAGUGGGCGAGAAGAAGGCGGAAUGCGUGGUGUAGCGGUGAAAUGCAUAGAUAUCACGCAGAACCCCGAUUGCGAAGGCAGCCUUCCGGCGCCCUACUGACGCUGAGGCACGAAAGUGCGGGGAUCGAACAGG
rnacentral:rRNA from 1 species